rnacentral:miRNA from 1 species
CUGCAUUAUUGUAGAGCGCUUAGAGAC